rnacentral:rRNA from 1 species
UGGAGGAAAGUAGGGGAUCGUAAGACCUUGCGCUUUUGGAGCGGCCGAUGUCUGAUUAGCUAGUUGGUGGGGUAAUGGCCUACCAAAGCUUCGAUCAGUAGCUGGUCUGAGAGGACGGCCAGCCACACUGGGACUGAGACACGGCCCAGACUCCUACGGGAGGCAGCAGUGGGGAAUUUUGGACAAUGGGCGCAAGCCUGAUCCAGCCAUGCCGCGUGAGUGAAGAAGGCCUUCGGGUUGUAAAGCUCUUUCAGCCGGGAAGAAAAGGCUGCGACUAAUAAUCGCAGUUCAUGACGGUACCGGAAGAAGAAGCACCGGCUAACUACGUGCCAGCAGCCGCGGUAAUACGUAGGGUGCGAGCGUUAAUCGGAAUUACUGGGCGUAAAGGGUGCGCAGGCGGUUUUGUAAGUCAAAUGUGA